AGAAAAUGUAUCAUCAAACUUAUCUCUAUGAAAAAAUUGUGUAUUUACAAUGAAUAGUUUUUGAGUAAUAAUUUUUAAAAAUUUUAUUACCAAUCAAGUCGGGUUUUUUGCCAAAAUUUUGCGAAAAUGGGUGAAGGGUACAAGAAAUGAUUUUUCCAGAAACAUGUACAUCCAAUAUAACUUUUUUUCUUUUCAAACUUCUUAGAUAUGUAUUUUCUCAAUUAUUUAUAACAAAGAAGUUGAAAUAAUAUGCAUUUUGUUCUUGAAACAGAGAAAAAUCACAAACUUACAAAAUUGACGGCAUGGUUUAUUUGACACAUCAACAUAUGCUAAAACUUUCUUAUAUUAACACCUACCUAUAUUAAGUUAAACUUAUUAAGAUUGGUCCACUCCAUCCUAAUUGAAAGUAUGGACACAAUUUUAAUUGUGGAACUGCGAUUUGUUUUACGAUAAUAGCCCCAAAAUAGGUGAAAAUAGAUGAUAUGGGAAAAUUAUCAAAUUUGGGUACGACUGUAGCAAAAAAAAAUAAACGAAGUGCACCAUUAUAUUAUUUUUUUCUUCACCAAUUAUUCCUAUAAAAAGUUUAAUUCUAGAAAUUUAUUCUUCUCAGAGGUGUACAUCCUUAAUCCUGCACUAGAGGAAAGAAAAAUAAAUAGGCAUCAUAAGAAUGUCAAUAAUUUACAAAUCUUAAAGUUUAAGUUAUAAUGUACAUCAAAUCUUCUAAAGUUCAUGUAGUUAACCAUAUUUGGUGGUAACUACUUAGCACAACGAGGUUUGCAUAGUUCUUAAGCAUUUUUCCUUCUUAAGCUUAAUUUCGUUCACAACAAACUUAUUAUAGAUACCAUGAUUGAAAUUUUGUAUUUGUGCCAAAUGCGCGUUUCGUCUACAAAAGACUCAUCAGUGGCGAUCAAAUAAUAAUAAUAAACUAGAGGCC
rnacentral:lncRNA from 1 species